GGGUAUAGCUCAGGUGUAGAGCGCGUGCUUAGCAUACAUGAAGGCCUAGGUACAAUUCCCAGUACCUCCA
rnacentral:tRNA from 1 species